CUACAUGAAGCUGGAGUUGCUAGUAAUCGCGAAUCAGCAUGUCGCGGUGAAUACGUUCCCGGGCCUUGUACACACCGCCCGUCACACCAUGAGAGUUGGCAAUACCCAACGUACGUGAUCUAACCCGCAAGGGAGGAAGCGUCCUAAGGUAGGGUCAGCGAUUGGGGUGAAGUCGUAACAAGGUAAC
rnacentral:rRNA from 1 species